UACGAAGGGGGGCUAGCGUUGUUCGGAAUUACUGGGCGUAAAGAGCUCGUAGGUGGUUUGUCGCGUUGUCCGUGAAAACUCACAACUCAAUUGUGGGCGUGCGGGCGAUACGGGCAGACUGGAGUACUGCAGGGGAGACUGGAAUUCCUGGUGUAGCGGUGAAAUGCGCAGAUAUCAGGAGGAACACCGGUGGCGAAGGCGGGUCUCUGGGCCGAUACUGACGCUGAGACGCGAAAGCGUGGGGAGCGAACAGG
rnacentral:rRNA from 1 species